rnacentral:lncRNA from 1 species
UAAUCCUUACUAUUCAGAAAUCACCAACUACAAUUUUGUAAUCAACUGAAGAAUUAAAGUUCUACUCUGCUAUAUAGAUAGAUCGCCAGGCUUGCUAGUACGAACUCCAUGCCUGAACUAUCCUUAGUUCCUAUCGACCCUAUUUGUCUAAAGAGAGAAAAAGAAAUAGAGGUAUAUGAGCGACGCAGCUUAGGAAGUAACCC